rfam:Steinernema glaseri strain NC unplaced genomic scaffold GLAS_6664, whole genome shotgun sequence.
AUCGGGUUCGGCGAUAUGGUUCCGAAGACAUACCUCGGCAUGCUGGUCGGCUCGUUAUGUGCGCUCAUGGGUGUGCUUACAAUUGCGCUGCCAGUGCCUGUCAUCGUGGCAAAC